CGACGCGUGCGACGGCUUACACAUGCGAGUCGUCUGGAAACUGCGUCGUAUCACUCUCGAGGCUCAGCGACCGUGAAUACCGCGUUGAGUACAGCUGCCUCUUCACAUCGGUGAUAUCUGGUCCAAAGCACCUCGCUAAUGCCCUAUUAUUAGCCUUGUUAUCACUGACGGAUGUGGGCGUCACACCUGAGUGUUGAUAGUAUGCUGUCGAUCCCAGAAUAGGGUGUUCGCGCUCCUAUACAGUGUANUUGCAGGGGUGAAAGUGGCCAUCCCAACCCCCAUGUCAGGUGUACUCUAUGUCUAGGAGAAGUAUAUCUCCGCACACAGGUGGGCACUAGACACACGGCACCGACAUCCUCUACAGGGGGCGCACGCAUUGGGGAAAAUCUGUGGCGCAGAUGACGCGACGUGUCUAGACCCCGCAUGUGCGCGCGAAGAGGAUAAGAAGUCCCUCUCGGAGUGUAAAACCUCCUGUCAGAUGGGGAAGAUGGAACGUCGGUGCCUAAUCCCUCCGAAGACUUGCUAGUGACUAUCCUAGGGAGUAGCCGCAUACCUACGUAGCCAGCAACUACGGAAGU
rnacentral:rRNA from 1 species